rnacentral:rRNA from 1 species
UACAGAGGGUGCAAGCGUUGUUCGGAAUUAUUGGGCGUAAAGCGCGUGUAGGCGGCAGUGCAAGUCGGUGUGAAAGCCCUCAGCUCAACUGAGGAAGUGCGCCCGAAACUGCAUUGCUUGAGUACCGGAGAGGAUGGUGGAAUUCCGAAGUAGAGGUGAAUUCGUAGAUAUCGGAGGAACACCGGUGGCGAAGCGACCAUCUGACGGAUACUGACGCUGAGACGCGAAGCGUGGUAGCAACAG